AACGAACGCUGGCGGCAUGCCUAAUACAUGCAAGUCGAACGAUCUCUUCGGAGAUAGUGGCGCACGGGUGCGUAACGCGUGGGAAUCUACCCUUGGGUUCGGAAUAACUUCAGGAAACUGAAGCUAAUACCGGAGGAUGACGUAAGUCCAAAGCAUUAUCUCCCAGGGAUGAGCCCGCGUAGGAUUAGCGAGUUGGUGAGGUAAAUGCUCACCAAGGCGACGAUCCUUAGCUGGUCUGAGAGGAUGAUCAGCCACACUAGUACUGAGACACGGCCCAGACUCCUACGGGAGGCAGCAUGAGGGAAUAUUGGACAAUGGGGGCAACCCUAUUCCAGCAAUGCCGCGUGCGUGAUGUAGGCCUGAGGGUUGUAAAGCUCUUUUACCCGGGGUGAUAAUGACAGUACCGGGAGAAUAAGCCCCGGCUAACUCCGUGCCAGCAGCCGCCGUAAUAC
rnacentral:rRNA from 1 species